rnacentral:lncRNA from 1 species
AAAUAUAAGAUGUAAUAAUAUAUAAUUUAAAACUAUUAUAUGUUUUGAAUGAAUAUAUGAAUGAAUGAUUUAAGAAUUAUUUAAUUAUAGAAGGGUGCGGCCUUAGAGAUGGAGCAAUGGUGAGCGCACACUUGGACCAGGGAGGGGAAGGAGUUCUUAACCCUGAUGCACGUGGCCCCUGCUGUUGUGUCGUUCCCCUAUUGGCUAGAGUGGGUGGAGCAGGUAAUCCGAAUGAAUCAGGGUGGAGCAGGUAAUCGAAAAAGGUUGCUUUAUGAGGAAGUUAAGUUUAAAAGUAAUAGAAGCAUUACUAAAAUUAACUUAAUUGAACUAAAGACAAAGGAGAACAGUGAAUAGUUUACAUGCUAUAGUCCUAAGCCAGGUAGAGAAAGUAGCAUGAAAUUGAAAAGCAAAUUUAAAAAAAUUAUUAUAUUCCCUUAACAGUACUAUGGAAGUCAUAUCCUGAGUUGAUAGAAAUAAGUUAGGCAUUACAAAAGUCAUCAACUUUGCGCCACAUAAUUCAUUGAAUUUCUUCUAGGUAUGGAUUUUUAUAAGGCAAAAAUAAAACUUCUACUGUAUUUGCUAAUACUCUUUUAAAGAUUUUAGAGGAAAAAAACUUUUUUUGUAUCAUAUUACAAAAAAUGAACUUUGUUUCACUUUGGAAAUGAGUACACUCAAUAGUACCCUCUCUCCCCAAUAACUCUUAGUCAUAAUAGCAAAAAUUGUAACCAUAUAUAUGUGUAUAGUACAUGCAUCUGUACAUGCAAGUACUUAUGUAUGUGAGUAAUCAUUUAAACGCUAUGCUCAAAAACAAGAAAAGAAAGUCUUAAAUGCCAGAAAUUAUUAGGAUUACUAAGAAACUAAAGAGAGAUGAUAAAAUUAAACAAUGACUUGAUAACCUAGAAUGUAAGUAAGACCCUGACAGAGAAUGGUACACAGUGGCAGCACAUUAAGUUUCUCCAGACCUAAAGAAAGUAGAGGCCAGAAACAUUAAGAAGGUUGGAGCAACUCAGAGUGAGUUUGGCCAUCAAACUGUGGAAGAUACCUUUGACUGCAGAAUUCUGUACUCAGCUAAACCCAUUGAUAUACGGGAUGAAGACAUUUUUCUAAUAUACAGGAACUCAGUUUACAACCAAAACACUCCCAAAAUACUACUACAGAAAUUAGUCCAUUAAUAAUGAAAGUGAAUUCUAUGAGGAGGUAAUGAGUUGAAAAAAUGUAAUGGUGUACCACAGCCAAAAAAGUAGAAAAAUAUGUCACCAACUAACUUAGUAACACUUGGAAAAAUACAGAACAAUUGUAUCUUUUCCUGAGCUACAAACACUAGCUAUACUAGCUAAAAGCACUAACAAAAUAGUGAACAUAUGUACACACACAUACUAGUGAACAAAUGAUAUAUACACUAAUAGUGAAAAUUAUAUAUAUAAUAUAUACUGUUUGUUAUACAAUAUAUACUAUACAUAUAUACUAUUAGUGAGCAUAUAUCUAUAUGUAUAUAUGUAUAUAUAUAUAUUUCCAUCAUAGCUGAAGUGUAAAAAAAAGAAAAUGAAACUUGAAGCUUCCAGAAAGAAACUUAAAACUUCAUUCAUUCCAGAAUGAAGAGGGAAUGUAAAGACAAAAUGGAAAAUUCACUAUUUCAUGCUUUGAGAGGAGGAAUCAGCCCAAAUAUAGACCCUACAUCUAGGAGACUAGAGUUUUAAUGGCCAAUGGCAAGAGAAAACAUGGCAUUGGGUCUUAAUUCGGUAUAAGAGUUGGAAAUGAGACUUCUAAAUAAAGCUAGGACUUGCAAGUUUUGUCCAUUCAAGACAAAUAAAGAAGAGAGUCUAAAAAAAAAAAAAAUAGCUGUGUCCCAGUGGAAUGAUAGGGAGCUCUUCCCUAUACCAGGGCUUUGAUAGCAAAAAAAAAAGCUCACCACCAAAGAAGGUCUUACAUGAGAAGUAAGUCCUGCAAGCUUCUAUACAACUCCAUGCACAUGGCACUGUUUAGGUAAGUGAGGAGGGUGGCAGGGGGCUGGGAGAUGAGGCUUAGGCAGCCUCACAAAUAAAACUUAGGAAACCACAAUAAGAAAAACAUUUGUCAUAAUGAAAAAACCAGUAAACAAGGGUCUGUCUAAAUGGCCUUAUUAGACCCUUCAAGGCAAUCUGUCAGAACAGAAAUGCAUGAUAAUUUCCUUUCUGCCACAAGCAUAAGAAAAAAGGCUCUUCUCUUCGCUGGUAUUGAAAGAUAUUCAUCUUAAAAUCCCUAAAUAAUGCUGAUUUUUAAAGAAGGAUAUUGUAUUAGUUUUUCAAGCUGGUUGUAACAAAUUAUCAUAAACUGGGGGGCUUCAAACAGCAGAAAUUUACUCUCUCACAGUUCUAGAGUCUAGUCCAAAAUUAAGAUGUUGGUAGAGUCAUUCUCCUACAGAAGAAUCCUUCCUUGCCUCUUUUGGCUUCUGUUGGUUUCCAGCAAUCAUUAGCAUUCCUUGAUUUAUAGCAGCGUAACUCCAGUCUCUGCCUUCAUCUUUGCAGGGCCUUAUUCUCUAAGUCUCCUCUGUGUCUCUGUAUGUCUCCAAAGCUCCCUCAGCUUCUAACGAGUUCCAGCAUUGGAUUGAAGGGCUGCCCUAAUCCGGUAUGACCUCAUAGUAACUCGAUUAUAUCUGCAAAGACCGUAUUUCC